GAUGAACGCUGGCGGCGUGCCUAAUACAUGCAAGUCGAGCGAAUGGAUUAAGAGCUUGCUCUUAUGAAGUUAGCGGCGGACGGGUGAGUAACACGUGGGAAACCUGCCCAUAAGACUGGGACAACUCCGGGAAACCGGGGCUAAUACCGGAUAAUAUUUUGAACUGCAUGGUUCAAAAUUGAAAGGCGGCUUCGGCUGUCACUUAUGGAUGGACCCGCGUCGCAUUAGCUAGUUGGUGAGGUAACGGCUCACCAAGGCAACGAUGCGUAGCCGACCUGAGAGGGUGAUCGGCCACACUGGGACUGAGACACGGCCCAGACUCCUACGGGAGGCAGCAGUAGGGAAUCUUCCGCAAUGGACGUAAGUCUGACGGAGCAACGCCGCGUGAGUGAUGAAGGCUUUCGGGUCGUAAAACUCUGUUGUUAGGGAAGAACAAGUGCUAGUUGAAUAAGCUGGCACCUUGACGGUACCUAACCAGAAAGCCACGGCUAACUACGUGCCAGCCGCCGCCGUAA
rnacentral:rRNA from 1 species